UGCAGUGAGUCAGUCUGAAGCUGUCUGACUGUAUCAGCUGACAGAUGGCUCUCUGAAGU
ensembl:miRNA